GAUGAACGCUGGCGGCAUGCCUAACGCAUGCAAGUCGAUCGGUAAGGCUCUUCGGAGUACACGAGAGGCGGACGGCUGAGUAACGCGUAGGAACACACCCUGCAGUGAGGGAUAAGACACCGAAAGGUGUUCUAAUACCGCAUACGGUCUUCGGAUUAAAGCAUUUAUGCGCUGAAGGAGUGGCCUGCGUCAUAUUAGAUAGUUGGUGAGGUAAUGGCUCACCAAGUCGAUGAUGUGUAGCUGGUCUGAGAGGAUGAUCAGCCAGACUGGAACUGCGACACGGUCCAGACUCCUACGGGAGGCAGCAGUGAGGAAUAUUUCACAAUGAGCGAAAGCUUGAUGGAGCAAUGCCGCGUGCAGGAUGAAGGCCCUCGGGUUGUAAACUGCUUUUAUAAGAGAAGAUUAUGACGGUAACUUAUGAAUAAGGGACGGCUAACUACGUG
rnacentral:rRNA from 1 species